AUUGAACGCUGGCGGCAUGCCUAACACAUGCAAGUCGAGCGGAUGACGGGAGCUUGCUCCUCGAUUCAGCGGCGGACGGGUGAGUAAUACCUAGGAAUCUGCCUGAUAGGGGGGGACAACGUUUCGAAAGGAACGCUAAUACCGCAUACGUCCUACGGGAGAAAGCAGGGGACCUUCGGGCCUUGCGCUAUCAGAUGAGCCUAGGUCGGAUUAGCUAGUUGGUGAGGUAAUGGCUCACCAAGGCGACGAUCCGUAACUGGUCUGAGAGGAUGAUCAGUCACACUGGAACUGAGACACGGUCCAGACUCCUACGGGAGGCAGCAGUGGGGAAUAUUGGACAAUGGGCGAAAGCCUGAUCCAGCCAUGCCGCGUGUGUGAAGAAGGUCUUCGGAUUGUAAAGCACUUUAAGUUGGGAGGAAGGGCAGUAAGCUAAUACCUUGCUGUUUUGACGUUACCGACAGAAUAAGCACCGGCUAACUCUGUGCCAGCCGCCGCGGUAAGAC
rnacentral:rRNA from 1 species